AUGGCGGUCAAGUCUCUAGUUCUUCUCGGUGUCGUAAUAGCCUCGCUCCUGCUUCUCUCCCAGGAUGUAGCACAUGCUAGAGAGCUCAUUGAUGCUAAAGAGUCCAAGGAGAAGAAUGUAAAACCUGCAGGAGGGCCGGGCUUGAAGGACGAGAAAUGGGGAGGUGGAAGCAAGCAUUAUGGAGGGUAUGGGAAUGGUGGGGGGUACGGUAACGGUGGAGGGUAUGGAAACGGUGGUGGAUAUGGAAACAAUGGGGGAGGCUAUGGAAAUGGAGGGUACGGAAACAAUGGUGGAGGAUAUGGGAGUGGAGGUGGAUACCAACAUGGUGGAGGAUACGGAAACAAUGGUGGUGGGUAUGGUGGAGGAUAUGGAAAUUCUAGGCAUGGUGGCGGUUAUGGCGGUGGAGGUUAUGGACCCGGAUAUGGCGGCGGUUAUGGUUAUCCAGGCAACGGUGGUGGAUUUGGCGGGGGCUCUAGUGGAGGAUACGGUGGUGGCGGUGGAUACGGUGGAGGUGGAGGAUAUGGUGGCGGUGGCGGGUAUGGUGGAGGUGGCGGUUAUGGCGGAGGAUCAGGUGGUGCCGGCUAUCCUUGA
rnacentral:rRNA from 1 species